rnacentral:rRNA from 1 species
GAUGAACGCUGGCGGCGUGCCUAAUACAUGCAAGUCGAGCGAACGGACGAGAAGCUUGCUUCUCUGAUGUUAGCGUCGGACGGGUGAGUAACACGUGGAUAACCUACCUAUAAGACUGGGAUAACUUCGGGAAACCGGAGCUAAUACCGGAUAAUAUUUUGAACCGCAUGGUUCAAAAGUGAAAGACGGUCUUGCUGUCACUUAUAGAUGGAUCCGCGCUGCAUUAGCUAGUUGGUAAGGUAACGGCUUACCAAGGCAACGAUGCAUAGCCGACCUGAGAGGGUGAUCGGCCACACUGGAACUGAGACACGGUCCAGACUCCUACGGGAGGCAGCAGUAGGGAAUCUUCCGCAAUGGGCGAAAGCCUGACGGAGCAACGCCGCGUGAGUGAUGAAGGUCUUCGGAUCGUAAAACUCUGUUAUUAGGGAAGAACAUAUGUGUAAGUAACUGUGCACAUCUUGACGGUACCUAAUCAGAAAGCCACGGCUAACUAC